AAGCAGCAAACGCCGUGUGAAGGAUGAAGGGCUUAUGCUUGUAAACUUCUGUUAGAAGGGAAAAAUAUUCCGCUUUUAGUGGAUUUGAUUGUACCUUCAAAGAAAGCUCCGGCUAACUACGUGCCAGCAGCCGCGGUAAUACGUAGGGAGCAAGCGUUGUCCGGAUUUACUGGGUGUAAAGGGUGCUCAGGUGGAUUUGUAAGUCAGAGGUGAAAAUCCGAAGCUUAACUUCGGAACUGCCUUUGAUACUGUAAGUCUAGAGUUUGAGAGAGGGCAAUGGAAUAUCUGGUGUAGCAGUGAAAUGCGUAGAUAUCAGAUAGAACACCAAUGGCGAAGGCAGUUGCCUGGCUCAAUACUGACACUAAAGCACGAAAGUGUGGGGAGCAAACAGGAUUAGAUACCCUGGUAGUCCACACCCUAAACGAUGAAUCU
rnacentral:rRNA from 1 species